UAGGGAAUCUUCCGCAAUGGACGCAAGUCUGACGGAGCAACGCCGCGUGAGUGAAGAAGGAUUUCGGUUCGUAAAACUCUGUUGUUAGAGAAGAACAGCGCAUAGAGUAACUGUUAUGCGUGUGACGGUAUCUAACCAGAAAGCCACGGCUAACUACGUGCCAGCAGCCGCGGUAAUACGUAGGUGGCAAGCGUUGUCCGGAUUUAUUGGGCGUAAAGCGAGCGCAGGCGGUCAAUUAAGUCUGAUGUGAAAGCCCCCGGCUCAACCGGGGAGGGUCAGUGGAAACUGGUUGACUUGAGUGCAGAAGAGGAGGGUGGAAUUCCAGGUGUAGCGGUGAAAUGCGUAGAUAUAUGGAGGAACACCAGUGGCGAAGGCGACUCUCUGGUCGGUAACUGACGCUGGGGCUCGAAAGCGUGGGUAGCAAACAGG
rnacentral:rRNA from 1 species